AGCAGCCGCGGUAAUUCCAGCUCCAAUAGCGUAUAUUAAAGUUGUUGCAGUUAAAAAGCUCGUAGUUGAAUUUCGGGAUCAAUGCGUCGGUCGUGCCUUCGGUACGUACUAGCGUCAUUGAUUCCUCCCUUCUGAAGAACCGUGAUGUCAUUAAUUUGGUGUUACGGGGAAUCAGGACUGUUACCUUGAAAAAUUAGAGUGUUUAAAGCAGGCUAACGCUUGAAUACAUUAGCAUGGAAUAAUGAAAUAGGACGUUCGAACCUAUUUUGUUGGUUUCUAGGAUCGACGUAAUGAUUAAUAGGGAUAGUUGGGGGCAUUAGUAUUCAAUUGUCAGAGGUGAAAUUCUUGGAUUUAUUGAAGACUGACUACUGCGAAAGCAUUUGCCAAGGAUGUUUUCAUUAAUCAAGAACGAAAGUUAGGGGAUCGAAGACGAUCAGAUACCGUCGUAGU
rnacentral:rRNA from 1 species